UGCCAAGGGUGAAGAGCCUGUGAUGGGCUA
rnacentral:piRNA from 1 species